rnacentral:rRNA from 1 species
AUUGAACGCUGGCGGCAGGCCUAACACAUGCAAGUCGAGCGAGCGGCGGACGGGUGAGUAAUGUAUGGGGACUGCCCGAUAGAGGGGGAUAACUACUGGAAACGGUGGCUAAUACCGCAUACUAUCGGAUAACCCAUAUGGGAUUAGCUAGUAGGUGGGGUAAAGGCUCCCCUAGGCGACGAUCUCUAGCUGGUCUGAGAGGAUGAUUCGCCACACGUGGACUUAGAAAAGGCCCAGACCUCUACGGAGGCAGCAGGGGGGAAUAGUGCACAAUGGGCGCAAGCCUGAUGCAGCCAUGCCGCGUGUAUGAAGAAGGCCUUAGGGUUGUAAAGUACUUUCAGCGGGGAGGCGUUACCCGCAGAAGAAGCACCGGCUAACUCCGUGCCAGCCGCCGCGGUAAUAC